rnacentral:pre_miRNA from 1 species
AGGAAGAACAAUCCCAGUGGCUGCGGCAGCUCUGGAAACCUGGAUUCAGCCCCCACAGGACUCUGAAGCACUCCAUCUGCAGGGCCUGGAGGCUCCGGGGCGGG